rnacentral:tRNA from 1 species
GGCAACCAUGGCUAAGUGGUAGUGCAUUUGUUUUACAAGCAGAAGGUCCCAGGUUCAAUCCUUGGCAUCUCCA